CACUUCAAGAGAGAGGAGCUGGAAACACACAACAACAACACUUCUAGAGGGAGGAGCUGGAAACACACAACAACAACACUUCAAGAGGAAGGAGCUGGAAACACACAACAACAACACUUCAAGAGGGUAGAGUUGGAAACAUAACAAUGCCAACAACAUUUCAAGAGAGAAGAGCUGGAAACACAACAACAACAGUUUGGCCAGGAGGGUAGAUGGGAGGAAGGAGGUCGCCUGGGGAGUGGGAUGGUUGCCAGCCAUUCUGGCUGCAACAGCAGCUGCUGAGGGCAGAGGAGGAGGAGGAGGAGGAAGAGGAGCUGGUGGUGGUUGAAGAAGAGCUGGAGGAAGAAGUGAUGGUGGUGUCUGAAGAGGUGGAGGAGGAAUGGCAUUGAAGGGCAAGAAGUGGUUGAAGAGGAGGAGGAAGUGGAGGAGGUGCUGGUGGAGCAAGAGAAUCUUUCUCCAGGCCUUCAGAUAACAAGCUUUGGGAUUAACUACUAUGAUCUCCAGAUGUUUUGGCCCCUGGCUGCCCCUUCUAUCAGAAACACGACCCUCUGGUCCUCAUGGCUGAAGACAGAAUCCUGAGAAAAGUGUGAACAAUGCCUAGUGCCAUCGGCCCUGUCACAAACAGGGUGUGUGUAAGUAGGGGGCCAGUCACACUUAAUGUUUUUUGCAUGGAGAGAUUCGCGUCUGUGAAUUGAUCCAAAAUCGAUUCACCAUUACCACUGUUUUUUAAGGCGACGAAUCUCUCUAGGGCAUUUAAAUUUGUCUGAAGUCCCCAUUGAACACCUUUUUGGAUCAAAGUGAGGGGGACGCCAUUUCCUGAACAGUGGCUGCGCAAUCUGCUAAGGGUGCCAAAUGAGGUGCCAAAUGCACCGGCUUAAAUAGGCUUUUUGUCCCCCACCCCCACCAACUGCAUUUAGUACAAUCGGUGCAAGACUGAAUGACAGGGAAAUAACCCGGUUUCCAAACCGGGUUAUUUCAUAGUGUGAAUGAGGCCUAGGUGCUUUUUAAAACUCCUUUGCCCGUUCUUAUCACUACUACUUCUCCUGUCACACAUGCAGUCUGUCCAUUUGCUAGGUCUUCACUUGUACUGCUCCUACAGAUUUUGCCAAUCAGAUCAUUUUUUAAAAAUCUAAAUUGAUUUUGGAGGCAGAAAAAUAAAUAAGAUAUAAAAAAACAAACCAAAAAUGCAUGUGCAUUAUUUGUUAACUGCAGAUGCUGGUGCGUGAGUGUAGAAUUUAGAUAAUUGUUCUUGCAUGGCCCUCAGCAGAUAUUGUGAAACAGUUGGCUCUCAUUACGGAAAAAAUAAAAACAAACGUUUGUCCGCAGAAUUUCCACAAUACUCAUGGUAACCGUACAAUGCUGACAAUGUUAUUUCCUCCAUAUUUCAGACCAAGUGAAUCAGUGAUGUACCUAAAAUUACCUUGUGAAUUUUUUGCCAUGGAUCUGAGCACUCAGCUAGCUCACAUUUUUUACCAAUAUAUACAGGUACUGAGUAAAGGUUUUUGAAGUGAGAAUUCCUAUUUGAAACAGUAAAAUCCCUGGCUAAACCUCUGCCAAUUUGCUAAUAACAAUUCUUGCUUCAUAUCCUGGUAAAAUCUUAGCAGCUGCAACUACAGUUUUCUCCUGUGAUGAUCUACAUUGGGGCCAUUCACACUCGAAUCUGCCAUUUUUGUCCCAAGGGGAUCAGAUCUUCACACUGAUGCCAGACCUACCCGGUUCCUGAUAGGACUUAGUUUCCAGACUCUAUCUCCUCUCGGCCGCUUUCCUCUGGACAUGCUCCAGCUUGUUUUCUUCUUCAAACUGUGAUGCUCAGAACUAGACACAAUAUUCCAGGAUAAGGCAGGACCUGCUUUAAAGGGAAAAAAUGUUCAAAUGCUUCCCUGGUGGACACAGAAAUUUUCCAAAAAUCUCAACCUGUGGAACAAAGCUCGCCCUCUCAUGUGCCUCUCCCCCUUCACCCUCCUGAUGCCAGAGGACAUCUGUGCAAGUGUGGUUGUGUAUGUGGUGGAGACAGGGUGACAUUGCCUCCUUGGGCGCCCUGGGAAAGGUUGCAGAGGGAAGGGAAGGGGACGAUCUCCCUCUGGAGCCAGGCCUGGAGGCUUUUCUGCCAAAGGAUCAGGCCGAAGGGGAAGGAGAGGUGAGGAGGGAGAGGCUGGUGUGGAGCCAGGAGUUGGCAGGCUGGCUGCUCAGUGAGAGGUACCAAGAAGGGGGAAUCUGGCUGGCUGGCUGGGCCAGCUCCCAACCUGUCAAAUCCACUCCAGGACAAAGUAGGUCAAGGCUCUUUCUGAGCCAGGGGUUCCCUCUGCCCACCUCCUUCCCUCACCGGUAAGGGCCUGGAGAACUACAUCUCCUCUCCCUAUGGUUCUCCUCUGGGUCUGGAACACUGGCCCUUUCCUGCAGAGAAAGUCUUGUUCUUUCCUCCUCCCCUGCUCUCUUUUUUCCUGCCUGCACUUUUCUUGGCUCUCCCUCCCUCCCUCUCUCUCUCUCUGGCUGCAUGUAAUCUGGUUUGACACCACUUCAACUGCUGUGGCUCAGUGCUAUGGAAUUCUGGGAAUUCUAGUUUUUUGUGGCAUGGUGCAGUAUACGCCAUACAACAUAUUUCAUGGAGUGGCACAGUGCAGUACACACCAUGCAAAACAUAUACACAUACUUAACAGAGCCUCACCAUGCAAUACAUACUGUGCAAUGCACAUACACCUACUGCACAGACUGGUAUCAUGAAAUACUGUAAAAUACACAUACACCUAUAUCACAUAGGAUAUUUUCACACGGGAGAAUGUACCCCAAGCCUGAAAGAAACAAAGUGGGGUCAAUGCAGAAAUGCACAAAAUUACAUGGUGAGUUAACACACGCACAGAAGAGCACAGCGCCCAUCCAAAGUCAAAGUACAAAUGCGGAAGACGUUAUUACAUCAGUACGUACCAAUCGGAUUCUAGAAUUUGAAUUUGCAUCCCUGCGCAUGCAAUAAGUGAAAUAAACAUACAGCUAAUGCGUGGAGUGGUACCAUGAAACACACACUGUGAAAUACAUAAACACCUAUUGCAUGGAGUGGCACCAUAAAAUACACACUGUGCAAAACACAUACACUUUUUUUUGGAGUGGCACAAUGAAAUACAUAUAGACCUAUUGCUUGGAGUGGCUCUGUCCAAUUCACACUGUAAACAUAUGCCAAUUUCACUGUGGCACUGUGAAAUACACACCGUACAAAACACAUACACUUACUGCUUAGAGGGGCACCAUGUAAUACACACUGUGCAGUACACAUUCACCUAUUUCACAGAGAGGCACUUUGCAAUACACACUGUGAAACACGAACCCACCUAUUUUAUGGAGUGGUACCUUGCAAUGCAUACCAUGAAACACACCAACAGCUAUUGCACAGGGUGGCACUUUGCAAUACACACUGUGGAAACCCCCCCCCACACACACACACCUAUUGCACACAGUAGCACUUUGUAACUCUGAAACACACCUCCACCUAUUCCACAGAGUGGCACCUUGCAAUACACCCGUGAACUACACACACAAGCACCUAUUUCACAGAGUGGCACUUUGCAACACACCCCAUGAAACACACACAAACUUAUUGCAAAGUGUGGCACUUUGCGAGCACCCAUCCAGCUAUUGCAAGUCUCCCCCUGCCCCCCCCCCCCCCCCGGUCUCUGGGGUAGCCAGGGCCGGUUGGUAUUGGUCCCUGUCUGGCCCCUUUUGGCAGCCCUUUCUCUCUCUCCUCCUUGUCCUCUUUGGCUUCCAGAGGAGGAGGAGGAAACUGAAGAAGGGCAGGGAGGAUUAUUUUUCCUCAUUUCGCGUGGAAGGAUCGGACUUCUCAGAAGGCGGUGAGGCUGUCCAAGGGGGCUGAGAAAGAGGGAGGGACUCUGGGUUGUGUGUGUGUGGUGCGUGUGGUUGUGUGUAUGUCUCCAGAAAGAGGCGAUGCCAGGGCAAUCCUUCACGUGCCUGCAUUUGCAAGUUCUUUGCUGUGAAAAAUAAAAUAAAAGCAAGGCUGAGGGGUAGGGGCUGGCAUCCUCCCUUGCAAAUGCAAUAUCUACUGUGUUUUCAUUUCAGCCAGGCAUCCGAGGAGAAAGGGAAAAAACGUGGACUUUGUUGACAGCUGCCUUCAAAUAGGCUGGCUUUGUGUGCCACCAGGAUUGUAAGCAGACACAAAUGGCAUGCCCAGUCUGUCUGUCACCUUUAAUGCAGAAAGAUCCCUUCUGAGCCUGGGGGAAAGAAGGUUAACAGGGGACCUGAGAGCCCUGGUUAAAUAUUUGAAGGGAUGUCAUAUUUGGAAUGGAACUAGCUUGGGUUUUAUAUAAUUAAAUAUUUUUAUUUGUUUUCUAGCAACAGUACAAAACAAACAAUACCUAAGUAACAAAGAGGCUGGGAGGACUACAUAUAAACUUGCAUAACCACUGUCUUUUGUGGGGUAACAGCAGUACUAAAUGUAUGCCACUGGUAGGUCCAUUUUAUUUUAUUCUAUGUACAGUGCUGUGUAAGCCUACAGUGCUUUAUAAAUAAAAUUUAAUAAUAAUAAAAAUAAUAAUAAAGACA